AAAAAAACUAUGUUGCUAUAGAUAGUAAUAUUUUUCAAAUAUGGAAUACUCGAGUGAUUUUCCCUAAAAAGUUUUGCUUCAAUAUUAGCUGUGCCCAAUGAAUUUAGCCCACAACUUUUUUGUUAAAAAAGUAACAUUCAGCAAAAAUUGAAGACCACAUGAUAAGAUCAGUAAGUGCAAAAACUUGUAUUAUAGUCUAUUCAAAAUUCCAACACCUCAGAUUCAGUUGGAGAAUCGAUUUUAGUAUCUUCUGACUGCAUGGUGGUGGUGGUCAAAGGGAGAUAGUGCAUCAAGUGGUUCAUUCGCAAGGGGCUAUUUGAUCACAGAGCUUAGCAAUAAAAUGGUCAUUUUUUUCAUUAAUGAUGGUGUCUGAUCUAGUCAGGAUGCACCUUGAUGAAUCCACAUGGUACUUGCAGCCUUCCAUCAGCACAACUACUAUCACCAUUCACCAAGGCUAAGGGAAAUGAGAAAAUUUUGAAUACUGUCACCUCCGAUGGAAUUUGAACAUAUCAAAGAAACACAUUGUGUUCAUGCUUAUAAAUGACUUUGUAAUAAAUCUCAGAAUAAGGGGUGAAAUUUGGAUUACUAAAUUUAUGUUACCCUAAAAGUUGCUUAGUGUCA